AAGAGCUGAAUGGCCUCUUUGUCUUUUUAAUUUUUGUACUUAUCUCCAGCCGCUUCAGUUCUGACUUCUGAGUACUGAUGUGUCUUCCAAGUCCCAAUCAGGAAAGGAGAUACACAUAUGGAAAAGAAAAGGCAAGAGAGAGAAAUAUCGGGGAGAGGUAGAGAAGAGCAGAAAAUCCGAAUUUUUCUCAUGAGUAGAACUAGAAUUAAAGAAAGGGAAGACCUUCUCAUCCCAACUGCUCCCACUUAUGUAUGGAUUUUCUAUGUGAAAACUUGGGAAAGAGAGGCAAGAGUGAAGGAAAGGAGAAUGUUUUUUUCAAGCUAUUCAAGCAGCAUCAUUUACAUGCCUCCACAUAGCACCAAUCAGGGAUAUCUGUUGUACCAACCAUCAAUGCAAGGUUACAAGCAGGAUUCCUCACAGCAGCAGCAACAAACCUAUCCGGUGCCUGCAGCAUUAGAAAAGAAAUAUGAUCCAAUUUUUUUAAGUGAGCCCUUGUUCACUUGAGAAUUCAAAUAUGAAUGUGUAUCCUUAAUCAUAACAUCUAAUUUACCAAGUAUUUGCAUGCA